CAAAUAUAGUCGAGCCUGGCUAUUUUUAGCCAGGCCUUGGGCGCGAGCUCGCCGCGUGAGGGGGCGCCGCGACCCCGCCGGGAGGGCGGAGGGGGCGGGGGCGGAGUCGCCAUCUUGGACUCGGCUCGACCCCGUCUGGUGACCGGCGACGCUGAGCCAGGCUCGGCGCAGGGGGUCGGGAGAUUUAUUCUGUAAGGCAAGUCAUGGUCUCCGAGAUGAGUCCCACAUGAGGAGAGCCCAGGGAGGCAGUGGAUUGCUUGUUGGAGUCAAGUUGACUUGGCUAGAACCGGCAGCUGUGUGAGACUGGAAAAUGGAAAUGAAACCAGAAUGUGAGCUUGUUGAAUGAAUUGGACUCCCCAGAGAUCUGGGGGAGAAGAAAACCUCCCACUCGCCUUUGACUUCUGGAUUUCUUGUUUCCCUUGUAUUUGGAUUGCACUUUGAGAAGUCCAUCUGGAAGUUCACUUUUUAUUUGUUGCAACUGCAAGUAGAGUUUAUCAUCAAAAGACAAACCCCUGAAGGAAGAAAAACAGCGGGGGCAGUGAGGAAGUUGCAGAAUCACCUCAAAAAUCCAGUGAUGGUGUUUAAGCUUUGCUUCCAACAAUAAAGACUGGGCUGUGGUGACAUGCAAACUUACAGAAGAAGGUCCUGGAGCCAUGUAAGAAUCUCCAGACAGAACCAUCCAGAUAACCUAGAAGCAGAGAAGCCUGUUUGGGCCCCAAAGGGAAGCCAUCAAGGCUGUGCAGCUGUGUCACGAGCAUCCCUGUGGAGAGGCCCGAGUAGUGGGAACCCGAGGCCUCCAGCCCAGCCAUGCGAGGUCCUGUCGCCCAGCGAAGCCUUCAACGGCCUGAGGCCUGGCCAUCUUCUCACCUGUGGUCUCCUGAGCCACUCUGAGCCGAAGCCCCCAGCUAAGCCACUCCUGGAUUCCUGGCCCUCGGAAACUGAGACGCAUGCUUGCUGCUUUAAACCUAGAGAAGGAGCAUUAUAGAGAGCCUGGCAUCCUAUGGGUAGAAGAACGAAGGCAAGUCCUUCCCGACCUAUCCACAGGGUAGAACAUCUAUGAACUAAAUCUGGCCCUGGUCUUGCUGGAGGCAGGAAGGUGCCCAGAUGACAAAUUGGAUUUCCCAGACUCCCUUCCAGAUAAAAGCAGCUUACUUCUUCUGGCCAAUGGAAUGAAGGAAUAAACUGUGGUGCUGUACUUCUGGAAAUGCUCCCUGAAAGGGGGACUGACUCAACUGAUGAGGGAACGAGGCUCCGGGGCAGCAGAGCACCAAGAUCGUCCAGCUCCUAAGUACCGGCCAGGUGUCAGAUCCCCAGACCUGUGCUUUCUGAUUCUCGUGUGCUUCACCCACACAGGAUCAGCGGUUGCGGCCAGCUGGAUUGUACAGGAGGCUGGCCAGAGCCCCACGGCGCCAUCCCCACUCCUCCAUCCCCACUCCUCCUGCAACCCUUGGUUCAAGGUUUGUAUGCAAAUACAGAGAAGGUUCAGAGGUGAGAGAGCUGGGGAAAAUAGAGUUCAAGGGCUGGUGGGGGAAGGCAGGGGGUCUCUUAAAGGUCAAAGGGCUGCCGUAAUAAGAACUUGAGAAAGAUGGUGAGAAAGAACACUGAAGUUUUCGUUUCCUAAGGGGGACAUUCCAGGGAAGGGAAAUUCUAGCCAAAGUGUUUCUGUUCCUUUGAGGUACAGCCUUAGUUCCUCUGAGAGAUCUUGGCUGGGCAGGAUGCUUGAGGCCAGAGCCAGGCUCUGUUCCCCGUCCUCACCAUCCCAAACCCCUCCUGGCAGAUAGCCAUCAUCUCUGCCCCCAAAGCCCCCCAGUCUGUUCACAGCCUGAGCUGUCCUGAGGAGCGUGGAGUUCUCUGGCUAUGCUCAGAUCCUGAGAUUACAGUUAACAGGAGGAAGAAAAUAAGAGACUUGCCUUCUCUCUCUGUCCCCAAAGGCAGCCACCAGCAGUAUUUGUUCUCAGAGAGGCCCUGGGAAGAAGGAUGGUCGCUUUCCUUUCUCCCAGAGAUAAUUGAGGAGAAGCAAGAAACUACCUGUGUUUGAAGGGAAAAUGACGACAAUUAAUCUCUAAGCACAAGGCCUUGUGUUGAAUUCUUUGGAAAGAACUUUAAGAGUUUAAUGACAAUCAAGAGAAUGAAAUUGAAUUAAGAGAAAUGGAAAUUAAAUCAGGAAAGAAGUUUUUGCAAAGGGGAUGGUAAAGGAAAUUAAAAACAGUAAUGCUGAAAAAUGUGGUGGGCAGAGCGGGGGAAGAGAGGGUUUGGUGGAAAGGGGGAAAGAGCAGGCAGAGCAAAGCAGGUUGGGAGGAGCAGAGUGCUUAAUUCUAAGGACUGUGGAAAUUGUUCCUGAGAGACCAGGUGUCUGGCUCUUCCAGUCAGGGUCUAAGAUGCCAACUCCUAAUGGGGAUAAGCUCUCCUUUAGGUAAAUAAAAGUCUCCAGUUAGAGUAAGUAUAAGAAAAUAGAAGACUGGAAGUAGGGUAACCAACUAUCCCAGUUUGCCCAGAACCAUCCCAGUUUUAGAACUCAAGUGCCAAGUCCCAGAAACCCUCUAGUCAAGGGCAAACCGGAAUGGUUGGUCACCCUAAUGUGGA